rnacentral:rRNA from 1 species
GUAGGUGGCAAGCGUUGUCCGGAAUUAUUGGGCGUAAAGCGCGCGCAGGCGGUUCUUUAGGUCUGAUGUGAAAGCCCACGGCUCAACCGUGGAGGGUCAUUGGAAACUGGAGAACUUGAGUACAGAAGAGGAAAGCGGAAUUCCACGUGUAGCGGUGAAAUGCGUAGAAAUGUGGAGGAACACCAGUGGCGAAGGCGGCUUUCUGGUCUGUAACUGACGCUGAGGCGCGAAAGCGUGGGGAGCAAACAGGGAUUAGAUACCCUGGUAGUCCACGCCGUAAACGAUGAGUGCUAAGUGUUAGGGGGUUUCCGCCCCCUUAGUGCUGCAGCUAACGCAUUAAGCACUCCGCCUGGGGAUACGGCCGCAAGGCUG